UGCCGCACGAGCAUGCUUUUACGGCACAGUCGAUAGCGCGCCGGACCUCGGGCUCGAGGGUUCGAUACCUGAUCCCUGUUGUUUCAUUACAAUACAUAGCCUAGGUAAUUGUCUGAGAUAGCUAGGUAACAAUAUUUUACUAAUUAGCUACUACUUUACCCAAACAGGAAAUGGCUUCAAUAAUCUUCGCAGAGAGAAAAUGCCACCCUCCAUACACCUGUGCUAAAGACGCGCCAGCGGUUGAUAUCUGCUCCAGGACUGGUAUAUCUUCCACAAAUGCCAUGUUUGCCUGAAGAGGACUUUGAAGUGCUCGAGACAUACACACGUUUGUCUCCAAUGAAGAACCUGCAUAGGAUUUGGGGUUAAAUUCCAUUGUGAGAUUGUCAGUAUAUUGUCAGUCAUAUUUCAAUUUCUCUCCUUUUUUUCUGACAAUUGCACUACGGAAUUGGAUGCCUUCCUUCAAACUAUCAACAGCUGACCAUUGAUCUGCCCCCAGAGAUGAAUGUAUGAGUCUAUAGCUUUGUACAGUUGAAAACUUAAUCUGUAUAAUUGUUUUUUUAUGAAUAAAGUUUUAGCCUGAA